GUUUAUAGCUCAGUGGAUUAGAGUGUGGCGCCGAUAACGCCGAGGUUGCAGGUUUGAUCCCCAUAUGGGACA